rnacentral:tRNA from 1 species
GUCCCCAUGGUCAAGAGGUUAAGACACCGCCCUUUCACGGCGGUAUCGGGAGUUCAAUUCUCCCUGGGGACGCCA